UACAGAGGUCUCAAGCGUUGUUCGGAUUCAUUGGGCGUAAAGGGUGCGUAGGCGGCGCGGUAAGUCGGGUGUGAAAUCUUGGAGCUUAACUCCGAAACUGCAUUCGAUACUGCCGUGCUUGAGGGCUGGAGAGGAGACUGGAAUUUACGGUGUAGCGGUGAAAUGCGUAGAUAUCGUAAGGAAGACCAGUGGCGAAGGCGGGUC
rnacentral:rRNA from 1 species